GCUUAAUUGCCGUGGGAGAAACUCAUUGUAGAGCUACGAUCUUGGUUUGUUGACCUAACUAGAUUGGAGUUCAUGUUCAUUAUUGUAAACUCAAUAAUUGAUUAUACUGUAUCAGUGUAUUGUGUUUAAGAGCACACUUUCUGCUUUAUUAAUUGUUGACUUGUAUGGUAUCCAAACGCUGGCUAAAAUUAAAGGGAUAGCUGUAUCAACUCUGUAGGCAGGUCUCCUUUUCCCUUUGUGAGUUGUUAAGACACAUGAAUGUGUCGGCUUGUGAUUCUUGUACACAGUUUUUAUGAAUUUCUUGUUUUAGAAAGAUUUCGGAUGGGUUUCUCUACUUUU
rnacentral:misc_RNA from 1 species